rnacentral:misc_RNA from 1 species
CCAUAUCCCAUCCCGAAAAACCUCAGCCUUGCAGUGAUUAUGACGGUGUGUUUAACUAUAGAAUUAUUGGUCUGAUGAGCCCACUUUGACGUGAGAUAAUGGCAGAAGGUGGAGAAGAGAGACUACCUGACCUGUAUGAGAAAAUCUGGUCUUGUUGGGGAACGCUGGACAGCACAGAAGAACCGUCAUCCUCAUACAAUGUGCAGAAAACAAUAAUCACAGGAAUAACAGCUGGAAUAAAGGCAAUCAGAAUGGUCAAUGAUCUCGGUCUCUUCAGCACAAACGAAGAUUUAGAUGAAGUGGCAACAAAUGAAAUAAAAUACCUUCUCCUGCCUGCUUUCAUGGGUUAUUUUACAGAGAGAAAGACUGUAAAGAAAAUGGAGGAACGAGGAAGUUUGGUCAAAGAGGCAAAAGCAUAUUACAUAGAUUUUCUCAGGAACUGUGACAAUUACGGAAUAGCUAAGCUGGAUAAGAGAUUGUUGAACCUGACCCCAGAGGCUGACCAAAAGGCAAAACUCUCAGGGGGGUAAGCAUGAGCGGAUGUUUCUAAAGUGAACUAUAAACAAGGAUACUUUAAAUCAUAUUUUGGAAAUUGUAUAUUCAUGAAGUAUUUGUUUUGUACCAUUUUCUAUGGGAAAAAAGCAGUCUUUGAAUCCUUUUUCUACCAGUAUCAACUUUCUAGAAUUUACUGGUUUUGUAAAAAUUGCUCUCAUUUUCAGUUUACAGUAUUUGAUAUUUAAAGGAAUACAUGUAUUUAGAGUUGUUUACAUGUAUAUCAAAUAAGCUAAUUUGUUUGGAGAAUCAAUCAGUUAAUUUUUUUGUAUUUAUCAAGACCACAAGGUAUGGCAGGUAUGAUGCAGACAAGGGAAGAAAAAAUAAAAAGCUUCAAGGAGAAAAAGGAACUUGAUGCCAGAGUCAAAGAACUCCAUGACAAAAUGAAGCAGGACCAUGUAGAUGAGGAUGUGAAGAGGGAAUACUUUAUUGGUUUACUAAAACAAUGGAUUGGAAAUGCAAAAGAGAGUUUAGAUUCUUUACAAGUGGAAGUCAUCAUGUUGGAUCUUCGUAGUCAAACACUAAAUGAUGAUGAGGCAGAAAACAAACCCAAGGAGAAGAAAAAGGCACUGCGCCCCUUCAUUAUAACCAAGGACAUGAUUCAGAAGGCUGUGUUUGGUGCAGGAUAUCCCAGUAUUCCAUCAUUGACUAUUGAAGAGUUCUAUGAGCAGAAAGUAAAAGAUGGAACCUUCCAACCGCCUACCUCAAAAGGACACAGUAUGCAGAACUGGGCGCAGGACCCUGAAAAAGACAAAGAGGCCCAGGAGAGGGAAGCAGAGGAAAAGGAGAGGAAAGAAGAGCAGGAUGACCCUGAGGAGAUUCAGAAAACCAGAGCAUUUGAUGAUUGGAAAGAUGAUCAUCGAAGAGGAUGGGGAAACCGGAAAAAUAUGGGAUGAAAAAAUUGGAAUUCCAAACAAGGAAAAGUCACAGACUUUACUGCUGCAGUCUCUAUGCUACAUCUGUGUCAGUUUUCCGGAUUCCUGAAUGUGCUCUCCAGUAAUCAAGAACAUCGCAACAAUUGGAGUCAAGAGGAUGAAAAAAUGAUGUUUUAUACAAGUGUGGACAUUAACAUGAACUUAUGAGGAAGUUUAGUUUAAGACCUUUCGCCUGUGAUAAUAAAUAUACACUGAUUCAAUAAAUCACUUUGCUUAGAUUUGUGAAUUAUUUCUUUGCAGUAAUAUUUAUAGAAUCUAAAAUAUAAUUGUAAUACAUGAAUGUUUACUGGGUUCUAAAAGAAUAAUUAUUGAAUAAUGAACUUCUU